rnacentral:rRNA from 1 species
UACGUAGGUGGCAAGCGUUGUCCGGAUUUACUGGGCGUAGAGGGCGUGCAGGCGGUCUGUUAAGUGCAGGGUGAAAGCUCCCGGCUCAACUGGGAGAGGUCCUUGCAUACUGGCGGACUUGAGGGGGGUAGAGGAAAGUGGAAUUCCCGGUGUAGUGGUGAUAUGCGUAGAUAUCGGGAGGAACACCUGUGGCGAAGGCGGCUUUCUGGGCCCUACCUGACGCUGAGACGCGAAAGCGUGGGGAGCGAACCGG